rnacentral:lncRNA from 1 species
AUCCAUUACAUAUCAGCAUGAUCAGAUAUCACUCUAUUAAGUUAUACUUCUAUCCAAUUUAUUUGGUAUAGUUUGAUUCUGCACGAAGUUUUAAGAAAGUAAUGAAAACGUAAAAAACUUGUAGUCUUAAAUAUGCUAUUUACAUUUAUGUAGCUUUAAGGUUUCUGAAACUUGAGCCUUGGGUUUGCUCCCUUUGAAGGUCUCAAGUUCGAAACCCACUAGGUGCAAACAAUUUCUGAGGGCCAUCGGACUAGAUAAAACUUGAAAUAAUCGUGGUGCACUUGCAGGAAACUUCUUGGCGAGGGCCUGUGCACUCUCGGAAUUAGCCGGGGCUCGUAGAGAUUCGGACAUGCGAUACAAAUAAAAAAAAAGGUUUCUGAAACUUGUGGCUUUUGAACAUAAUAUAAUAUUUCUGUAGUUAUAAAUGCUCUUCGCUAAGGGUAAGUUUUUGGUAGGUUGUGUUUUCAAUUUUCCAUGUUUGAUUGGAAAACAGUUUCCUUAUUAACUCAUUGACUUCCCUACCAAAAGAAGGAAAAUAUUUCCAAACUCUUUAUCAACCUUCCCCACCUUACCUCAUCCCCCAUCGCAACCCCACCUCCCACCCCGGCACGCCCAACCCACCUCUUACAUCGUCACGCCACUCCGGCCCUAGACCUCAACCUACCUGUCUCCAUUGCUCUUAUCUAUUUCGUCUCAUAUAGUG